UACGUAGGGUGCAAGCGUUUAAUCGGAAUUACUGGGCGUAAAGCGUGCGCAGGCGGCUUUGCAAGACAGAUGUGAAAUCCCCGGGCUUAACCUGGGAACUGCAUUUGUGACUGCAUGGCUGGAGUGCGGCAGAGGGGGAUGGAAUUCCGCGUGUAGCAGUGAAAUGCGUAGAUAUGCGGAGGAACACCGAUGGCGAAGGCAAUCCCCUGGGCCUGCACUGACGCUCAUGCACGAAAGCGUGGGGAGCAAACAG
rnacentral:rRNA from 1 species